rnacentral:rRNA from 1 species
CCGUUCGAAUAGGGCGGUACCUUGACGGUACCUAACCAGAAAGCCACGGCUAACUACGUGCCAGCAGCCGCGGUAAUACGUAGGUGGCAAGCGUUGUCCGGAAUUAUUGGGCGUAAAGGGCUCGCAGGCGGUUUCUUAAGUCUGAUGUGAAAGCCCCCGGCUCAACCGGGGAGGGUCAUUGGAAACUGGGGAACUUGAGUGCAGAAGAGGAGAGUGGAAUUCCACGUGUAGCGGUGAAAUGCGUAGAGAUGUGGAGGAACACCAGUGGCGAAGGCGACUCUCUGGUCUGUAACUGACGCUGAGGAGCGAAAGCGUGGGGAGCGAACAGGAUUAGAUACCCUGGUAGUCCACGCCGUAAACGAUGAGUGCUAAGUGUUAGGGGGUUUCC